rnacentral:sRNA from 1 species
AGCAGUUUACGGAAGUGUAACGUUGAGGCCCUUCUUGUGUAUCUGGAGAAAAUAGAGGUUAUGACUCCUCAGGAGCAAAAAACAUAACCUGAAGAGGAAGGAAGUGGAUUUGGGGUUCACCAUUUCUAGGGGCACACUUGAUUGAAGACUGAGACUUCUGAAGAGAAGGCCAGAAGAUACAAAGACAGACCAUCCCAGUUGAAUGCUGUCUUCCAAGAACAGAAGAAGAUGAUCCAGGCCCAGGAAUCCAUAACACUGGAGGAUGUGGCUGUGGACUUCACCUGGGAGGAGUGGCAGUUCCUGAGCCCUGCUCAGAAGGACCUGUACCGGGACGUGAUGUUGGAGAACUACAGCAACCUGGUGGCAGUGGGGUAUCAAGCCAGCAAACCGGAUGCACUCUUCAAGUUGGAACAAGGAGAACAACCGUGGACAAUUGAAGAUGGAAUCCACAGUGGAGCCUGUUCAGACAGAGUCUUGCUCUGUGCCCAGGCUGGAGCGCAACGGUGCGAACUUGGCUCACCGCAACCUCCGCCUCCUGGAUUCAAGCGAUUCUUGUGCCUAUCCCCAACACUAGCACCA